GACGAACGCUGGCGGCGUGCUUAACACAUGCAAGUCGAACGGGCUGAAGUGGUAGCUUGCUAUUAUGGAUGCUAGUGGCAAACGGGUGAGUAACGCGUAGGCAACCUGCCCUUCAGAUGGGGACAACACUUCGAAAGAGGUGCUAAUACCGAAUGACGUAUCCAUUCCGCAUGGAGAGGGAUACCCAAAAGGCCGGGGCAACCGGUCACUGAAGGAUGGGCCUGCGUCUGAUUAGCUGGUUGGUGGGGUAACGGCCCACCAAGGCGACGAUCAGUAGCCGGUCUGAGAGGAUGAACGGCACAUUGGGACUGAGACACGGCCCAAACUCCUACGGAGGCAGCAGUGGGGAAUCUUCCGCAAUGGCGCAAGCCUGACGGAGCAACGUCGCGUGAGUG
rnacentral:rRNA from 1 species